rnacentral:rRNA from 1 species
GAAUUGACGGGGACCCGCACAAGCGGUGGAGCAUGUGGUUUAAUUCGAAGCAACGCGAAGAACCUUACCAAAUCUUGACAUCCUCUGAUCCCUCUAGAGAUAGAGGUUUCCCCUUCGGGGGACAGAGUGACAGGUGGUGCAUGGUUGUCGUCAGCUCGUGUCGUGAGAUGUUGGGUUAAGUCCCGCAACGAGCGCAACCCUUAAGCUUAGUUGCCAUCAUUAAGUUGGGCACUCUAA